rnacentral:lncRNA from 1 species
UUAUAAAUUAAAAUAUAUUGACUCGAUGAAGUUCAAUGACUCAAUUAUAACUAGACUGAAAGUUUAGUGACCUUUGUCACAUGAAAAUUCAAGCUUGAAUUUUAAGCCGUUCUUUGUCCAUCCUUCAGCCAUCCACCGCUCCACACGACACACAAUUCUUCAUCACAUCACCUUUCACGUUUCUCAAGGUUAUCAUGUCUUCCAUGCCGCCACGUGUCCACCCCACUCUCACUUCACCAUGAAUAUGUAUACAUUUGAUGCAUUUUUCAAAAAUUUCUCAAAUCGUUACAGAAUCCGCCUUUGAAUCCUAGCCGCCAACCAUCAUGUCUGAUCAACAAAAACCCAUGUCCCAAAGACUUCAGGACUCGGCCCCCAAUUCAGGCCAAGUCUUAAUUAGAUUCUUAACUGCGGCUACGAUCGGAGGUGUUUUGCUCGGUUUAUCCGCUUUAAUCUUAACCGGGACGGUGAUCGCCCUGAUUAUCGCCACCCCGGUUCUGCUUUUGUUCAGUCCGAUUCUUAUCCCAGCCGGAAUUGUUCUGUUCUUGGUCACUGCUGGAUUCUUGUUCGCCGGUGGAUGUGGAGUGGCGGCGCUGGCGGCGUUAUUGUGGAUAUACAAUUAUGUGGCCGGAAAACACCCACCCGGGUCGGAUCA